rnacentral:rRNA from 1 species
CCUACGGGGUGCAGCAGUGGGGAAUAUUGCACAAUGGGGGAAACCCUGAUGCAGCCACGCCGCGUGCGUGAAGACGUCUUUCGGUACUUACAACUCUAUCUGCAGGGAAGAACAUGACGGUACCUUUCUAAGAAUCCACAGCUAACUAAGGGCCAGCAUCCGCGGUCACACUUCGGGGGCACGCGUUAUCCGGAGUUACUGGGUGUAAAUGGUGCUUAUUCGGCAGCCCAAGUCUCACGGGAAAUCCCACGGGUUAACCAUGGAACUGCUUUGGAAACUGUGCAGCUGGAGUGCAGGAGAGGUAAGCGGAAUGCGUGGUGUAGCGGUGAAAUGCGUAGAUAUUAGGAGGAACACCAGUGGCGAAGGCGGCUUACCGGCCUGUAACUGACGUUGAGGCUCGAAAGCGUGGGGAGCAAACAGGAUUAGAUACCCCAGUAGUC